GCUCAUCGCAUCCUGGGGCUGAAGUAGGUCCCAAGGGUUGGUCUGUUCGCCCAUUAAAGCGGUACGUGAGCUGGGUUUAGAACGUCGUAAGACAGUAAGUGACCGUUGCUGUCUAUAAAUUUGGCUAUAUGCUGGGAAAUCCGAGAAUCACCUCCUACUUGACAAAAGAUGUUGAUAGAGAUAAAAUAUCUCUAUGGCAAGUAAAAACGGAGGGUGUGCGGAUAAUCAGCAGGCAAGCAGGAAAAAAAUAUCAGAUGAAUAUUUUACUGGCUUCGUUGAUGGAGAAGGCUGUUUCUAUGUAGGUUUCAGCCGAAGAAAAGAUUUACCUUUAGGUUGGCAGGUUAUUACAGAGUUCCAUCUCAGUCAGAACCCACAGGGAAAACUAAUUUUAGAACAAUUUCAAAGAAGAUUAGGAUGUGGUUACAUUAAACCUAAUCACCCUAAAAGCAAAAGAGAUAAAACCUGGGUUUUGAUUGUGAAAGACAGAAAAGACCUAAAGGAAAGGUUGAUACCUUUCUUUCAGAAACAUCCUCUUCAUUCAGGGAAAAGAAAAGAUUUUAUGCUCUUUGUUAAAGUACUUCAGUUGAUUGAAAAAGGAAGUCACCUUAAACCUGAAGGUUUUAGGAAGAUAGCCAAUUUGGUCUUCCAAUUACCACGAAGUCGGAAACGUUAUUUGAAAGAAGAGAUAUUUUUCUCCUGUGGCCUCAGAGACUAUACGCCAAAUACCUCGAAAAGGUAAAGAUAUAGUCCGAUCUCACGGGCGACUGUGAGAGUUUCGCAGAAAUGCGAAGUCACCUCUUCUUGAAUCUAGAAGGGGUUAUAAGUCUCUGAUAGGAGAUGAAGUAACAGAAUGUCGGUCUCUAUCUGCUGUGGGCGUUGGAUAUUUGAAGGGGAGCUAUCCCUAGUACGAGAGGAUUGGGAUGGACGAACCUCUGGUGUUCCAGCUGUUCCGCCAGGAGCAAUCGCUGGGUAGCUAUGUUCGGAAAGGAUAAGCGCUGAAAGCAUCUAAGCGCGAAGCCUCCCCCAAGAUAAGAUAUCCCUCUGCCGCAAGGUGGACUAAAGAUUCCAGGAAGACGACCUGGUUGAUAGGCCAGAUGUGUAAGUCCAGUAAUGGAUUCAGCUAACUGGUACUAAUCAAUCGUGUGGCUUGACCAUAGAU
rnacentral:rRNA from 1 species